rnacentral:rRNA from 1 species
GACAGAGGAUGCAAGCGUUAUCCGGAAUGAUUGGGCGUAAAGCGUCUGUAGGUGGCUUCUUAAGUCCGCUGUCAAAUCCCAGGGCUUAACCCUGGCCAGGCGGUGGAGACUACUAAGCUUGAGUACGGUAGGGGCAGAGGGAAUUUCCGGUGGAGCGGUGAAAUGCGUAGAGAUCGGAAAGAACACCAAGGGCGAAGGCACUCUGCUGGGCCGACACUGACACUGAGGCGCGACAGCGUGGGGAGCAAACAGG